rnacentral:rRNA from 1 species
UACGAAGGGGGCUAGCGUUGCUCGGAAUCACUGGGCGUAAAGCGCACGUAGGCGGAUUGCUAAGUCAGGGGUGAAAUUCCUGGAGCUCAACUCCAGAACUGCCUUUGAUACUGGCGAUCUCGAGUCCGGGAGAGGUGAGUGGAACUGCGAAGUGUAGAGGUGAAAUUCGUAGAUAUUGCAAGAACACCAGUGGCGGAAGGCGGCUCACUGGCCCGGUACU